GAUGAAGAACGUAGUGAAAUGCGAUAAGUAAUGUGAAUUGCAGAAUUCAGUGAACCAUCGAAUCUUUGAACGCACAUUGCGCCCGGCAGUAAUCUGCCGGGCAUGCCUGUCCGAGCGUCAUUUCUGCCCUCGAGCCUGUCCAGCAUCUAGGUGCUGUUCGGGUUCGGCGUUGGGGCACUACGGGAAGCCUCGUGCUAUCCCCCGUAGGCCCCGAAAUGAAGUGGCGGUCCUGCCGCGGCUCCCCCUGCGUAGUAUUACAGCUCGCUUCGGGACCCGGUGGAGGCCUGCCGUCAAACCUUACUCUCUAAGUUUGACCUCGGAUCAGGUAGGGUUACCCGCUGAACUUAAGCAUAUCAAUAAGCGGAGGA
rnacentral:misc_RNA from 1 species